GACGAAGGAUGCAAGCGUUAUCCGGAUUCAUUGGGUUUAAAAGGGUGCGUAGGCGGACUGAUAAGUCAGUGGUGAAAUCUCUUUGCUUAACAAAGAAACUGCCAUUGAUACUGUCGGUCUAGAGUAUAGAUGACGUUGGCGGAAUAUGACAUGUAGUGGCGAAAUACUUAGAUAUGUCAUAGAACACCGAUUGCGAAGGCAGCUAACGAAACUAUAACUGACGCUGAGGCACGAAAAGUGCGGGGGAUCAAACAGG
rnacentral:rRNA from 1 species